GCACUGCUGAGGAGUCCCACAAUAGGACGAAACAGCUGUCCAGUAC
rnacentral:hammerhead_ribozyme from 1 species